GAUCAUGGCUCGAGGAGUGAACGCUGGCGGCGUGCCUAACACAUGCAAGUUGAGCGAUUACUUCGGUAAGAGCGGCGGACGGGUGAGGUAGCGCGUGGGUAACCUGCCCUGUACACACGGAUAACAUACCGAAAGGUAUGCUAAUACGAGAUGAUAUGCUUUUAUCGCAUGGUAGAAGUAUCAAAGCUUUUGCGGUACAGGAUGGACCCGCGUCUGAUUAGCUAGUUGGUAGGUAACGGCUUACCAAGGCGACGAUCAGUAGCCGACCUGAGAGGGUGAUCGGCCACAUUGGAACUGAGACACGGUCCAAACUCCUACGGGAGGCAGCAGUGGGGAAUAUUGCACAAUGGGCGAAAGCCUGAUGCAGCAACGCCGCGUGAGCGAUGAAGGCCUUCGGGUCGUAAAGCUCUGUCCUCAAGGAAGAUAAUGACGGUACUUGAGGAGGAAGCCCCGGCUAACUACGUGCCAGCCGCUGC
rnacentral:rRNA from 1 species